rnacentral:ncRNA from 1 species
UUCCAUCUUCGGGGCAGGGUGCAAUUCCCGACCGACGGUAAAAAGUAUACCUAUACUUCAAGUCCGUGACCCGCAUGAGUAAGACCAUGCGGUGGACCUGGUGAGAAUCCGGGACCGACAGUUACAGUCUGGAUGGGAGAAGAUGUCA